AAAGUUAAUAUAUAUUAGUAGAAAUGGGUAUAAAUCGUCGCUGAUACAAGUUACUCUUAAAUCAUCCUCAAUUGUCAUUGACAAUGCUGAUUGUAAAAUAAUCAACAACUGUCAUUGUCAAAUCAUAAAAUAUAAUUGAUGCUGAAGUAACAUCGAUUGAUGACGAACGUUUCGCUAUAAUUUUACAAUGAAAUAUAAUCGUGAUAAAAUCCUCAAUAUCACAUUGCGAGGUUAGUUUGCUCCAGGAAAAGGAUGACAGUGUCAACGACGUACCGAUACCGUAUACCAUUGCGAUUGAUGUUUUGCAGUAUCUUCUCCUCAAGCCGACUAUAAAACGAUUCUCCUGCACUUUGAACAUGGAAAAAGAUCGUAAGAGAUCGUCAUCGAAGAAACGAAUCGGAAAGUUUUCCUGCCAUAUCUUUCAAAUGAUACUAUUACACGUGGCUACUUAAAACUAGAAAAAAAGGAGUUCAUUCGACUAGAAAAGAUUUCGAAAUGUCAUCUACGUGAUAUCUACGAGAAUAUCUUAAAAUUUGCAAAUGAUGGCAAUUAAGAUCCAGUUAGUAUAACUUGUUUUAUGAAGAAAAAUAAAACAGCAAAAAUAU